AGUUAAUAAGUUUUAAAUAAACAUUUAUUUUGAAAAUAAUAUAAGAAAGUUAAAUCUUUCAUUAACUU
rnacentral:tRNA from 1 species